rnacentral:lncRNA from 1 species
GUGGUUAGAUUUGAUGUUGUGGUCUUACAGGAUUAUCUCUAGAGUGUAAAAAAGACGUUUUUGUCCUCAUGCAUAGUUAGUAACAGGAAAACAAAAUUUCGAGUGUACAGUUAAUAUCCAUGUCACAAUUUCCACAUCAUUAUUUCUUGUUUAAAAUUAUUUAAAAAAUCACGUCAAUAAGGAACAAAUAGUUGGCCUAGGUCAACUGACGUCUGUUUAAAAAAAUUGAAAAUAAAUUCACUUGACUUUAAUAUUAAACUGGAAAAUUUUGUACUUAGUUGUCUAAUACAUAAAAUAAGUGUAAGUUCGUUAGUGUUAACGUCAUUUACCCAUACCUGAAAAAGGAACAUUAUAUAAUAACUUCCACUUGGGAUUAUAAUCCAUAAUCAUAUAGUUCUAAAAAUGAUCAAAUAUUGUCGAGUAAAAUACAAAAGUAACCAUCGUACUCUUAGUAUAUUUAGAUAUUGUGCCCCUUUUUGUUGGUCAGUGCAAAAUAAGUCUUCUACUAUAGAAAAAAUUGGAUAACAAACCUUUAUGUGACAACUAGGCAUUGACUGGCCUACGUGGCAAUGAUGACAUGUAAGUAAACCAAACUAAGACUAAAAAAUUCGCUUCUAUCAAGAUUCAAACUCAAAACUUCAACCUCAUAACAUUAAACAACUGCCCAAUUGAAAUACAUUAUGCAAUUAUAAAUUAAACAACAUAAAUUUUAUUUAUACAAGAUUCUCCAUUUAAAUACAAAAAAAAAGAUGAUAAAUAAGUGAGUAAACCCUUCUUUGCUUGAUAAAUUUUUUAGAUAAAUGAGUGAUCAACUUUGAAGUCUAAGCCAAUAAAAUAGACGAGUUUACCUCGUUAAUUUUAAAUUUAAAAAAAUUUAGGUUGUUUAUAAUUAAUACUUCUUAUUCUCAGUGUCAUAAUAUGAAUACGAGAGUAGUCACUAAAUCUGAAGACAAUGGAGUGCCCUUCUUUCUUCAACCUAUUUUUUUCGAAUACUAUUAUUUACAAUAAUUAUAGUCGUAUUGUUAAAAAAGUGAAUAAAUAUAUAUUAAUUUUAAUUAAAUUUGAAAUUUCGUAAAUUAAGGUAAAUAGAUAUUCUUAUAUUAAAGGAGAAUAUAUCAUAUUAUGUAGCUCACUUGGGCAAUUGUUUAGUGCUAUGAUGUUGAGGUCUUGAUUUUGAAUCUUGAUGGAAACAAAUAUUUUAGUCUUAGUUUAAUUUACUAACAUGUCAUCAUUGUCACAGUCAUAUAGGACGGUUAAUGCCUAGUUGUCAUAUAAAAGUUUGUUCGGUCCAGAUCUUAAACUUACCCUUUUAUCUAACAUACUCCCUUUUAGCGACCAAACUAAUCAUAUAAAUAAAAUAGUUCAAGAUGGUAAAAAACUAGUAUAAAUAAUCAUAUGUCACCCAUCAUUUUUACAAACAAACAUAACCUAUUAAUACACAAAAUCUCUUCACAAGGGAAAAAGAGCAUGUGAAAGUAGUACAUUUCUUUCCCAUUCAUUUAACAGGGUAAACUAGCUCGCCCUUUCCAUUUCUUCCAUUAAAUGAUUCUGUUUUAACACGUUCCAAACAUGCCAUAUGAUAAAUAAUGGCAUAAUUUCCUAAUGCAUUCCUGAAAAAGGUACCACAUAUGAAACAUUUAAGAAGUGUUAAUGGAAAAGAAAAAACUGCAGACUACAUAAACUUACUCAACCAAAAUGCUCAGAUCAUUUCCAACGGUUCUAAAAAUAAGACAACUGAAUGUUCUCUGUCCGAGAUACAGAGGACAUUCUAUUGAUUUUUUUAUGACAAAUAGAUAAACAGUUCAAGAUGGAGAGGGAAGGAAAUACAAAUAAUUGUAAAAUUAGUAGCACAGAUUGACGAGGGCCACUAAACUUGAAAAAUCAUAAUACAAACUUGUAAAAAUCACAAUACAAGUCUAUGAAGGAAGUAAUACGAUUUAUAGUCAUUUGAUUUGUUACUCAAAGGAUAACAAGAUUAGGAUAAAAGAAUUAAAUCACAAAGAAAGGACUAAAUAGGAAGUUGACUUACUUGCAUUAGCUUGUUUUAUGAAUCUAGGUCUUCACUCUUCACAUGUAUUAGCAUCUUCUACUUAUCAACACACAAGAGGCACUAGCAUCUUUAAACUGGAUAACAUGUAUUAGCAUUUUCUACUUAUCAACACACAAGAGGCACUAGCAUCUUUAAACUGGAUAAAGUGUGAUGUACAACGUACUCCGAUUUCUUCUAAAGAG